CUCGCGGGCUUUCUGCAGGUUGCCGGCCCACCCAGGCGCUCUGUGUUUACAGUACUUGUUAGUAGGUAAGAACGCCUGCUUGACUGGUACUGGAAGAUGCUACAUUUUCUGGUCUAAGAACUAAAAAGCAGGGAAAGAGCUGCCAGGACCUGAUUCGGAAAUAAGGCUUCACUUCCGGAAGCAACAGCGCUCAGAAUCGUGGAGCUCUACCCAAGACAAAGAUGUCUAUACCGUACCUUCUUCACAACAGCAGCAGCAGAUUAACAACAGUGUGAAACUUGGUUAAGCUGCUGUGAACAGUCAAAGGACAUCUGCAAGUGUUGGAAUCAGCUUUUUAAAAACAGUGAGGGCGUUUCCUCAGUUACUAUUACCCGGAUACUCCAAACUUAUUUCUGAAUCUGGGACAUGCUUGCUAAGAAUUGAAGCUUGGCAUUAAUUGAUGUGUGGUUGUCACUGUUAGUUAUUGUUAAGAUGAUUUGCUUUACAGAAGCAAAUAUAACAUGUGCCUGUAUGAAAUAAAAG